rnacentral:lncRNA from 1 species
AGUAGUAGGAUUGCUAGAUACAUCCUCCAAGGGGGCCGGCCUCCUAGAGAGAAAAGGAGAGACAUGUUCUCUCCAAUUUUCUCCAAAAGAACCCUUAAUGAAUUUUGGCUAUAAAGUUCUUUAUAUAGUCACUUAUUUAAGUGACCUAAAGAACCAAAAACCCUAAUUUAUCUCACAUGGCCGGCCAUAUAAGGGAUAUGGGCUUUUGGGCCCUUGUGAAUCUUUAUUCAUUAAAUUGUCAUACAACUUAAGUCAAUGGGCUUGACGCUCGAAGCCCAUUGGGCCUUAAGGUCCAAAACUAUCCCGAGGUCUUUAACGAACUUAUUUGUUUGAUUAAUUAACAUAUUAAUUAAUAUUGCCAUAAAUAAUUAAACCAUUUAAUUAUUCUUACUCAUCUCCAGUGUUUCUUCAAUCUCCAUCUUACACGGUGUACGAUCCAUUAGGUUCCUUUUAGCGAGGCAGUGGGCGAUUAAAACCAUUUCACAUCGAUUGUGAAUUGAAACUUACUUUCAAUUCUCCCUUUUGUGAUUAUACACGUUUAGGGCUUCCACAAACCAUGAGUGACACCUAGCAGCAUAUCAUGGUUACCCAAGCUAAUCAGAAGAGGUGGAGAACCUAUUCAGUUUAGGAUUACAAAUGCAAUACGGUCUUUCUCUAAUACAAUACUCUUGACCACAUUGUUUUGUUUGAUAGUUUAUUCAUGUCUACUAUUCUAUGUGAUUCGUGUGCUUAUAUGAUUACCUUGAAUGUGAUUUGGAACACCUUCCUAAAUCUCAUUCAUACUCUGGCCAGAGAUUCUAAAUCAUAUC